AACCAACAGGGAUUGCCCCAGUAACGGCGAGUGAAGCGGCAACAGCUCAAAUUUGAAAUCUGGCCCCCCGCGGGGGCCCGAGUUGUAAUUUGCAGAGGAUGCUUUUGGCGAGGCGCCUUCCGAGUUCCCUGGAACGGGACGCCGCAGAGGGUGAGAGCCCCGUCUGGUCGGACGCCAAGCCAGUGUAAAGCUCCUUCGACGAGUCGAGUAGUUUGGGAAUGCUGCUCUAAAUGGGAGGUAUAUGUCUUCUAAAGCUAAAUAUUGGCCAGAGACCGAUAGCGCACAAGUAGAGUGAUCGAAAGAUGAAAAGCACUUUGAAAAGAGGGUUAAACAGUACGUGAAAUUGUUGAAAGGGAAGCGCUCGUGACCAGACUCGGGCCCGGCGGAUCAUCCGGCGUUCUCGCCGGUGCGCUCCGCCGGGCUCGGGCCAGCAUCAGCUCGCCGCGGGGGACAAAGGCUUCGGGAACGUGGCUCCCACGGGAGUGUUAUAGCCCGCUGCGCAAUGCCCCGGGGCGGGCUGAGGUUCGCGCUCCGCAAGGAUGCUGGCGUAAUGGUCACCAGCGACCCGUCUUGAAACACGGACCAAGGAGUCGUCUUCGUAUGCGAGUGUUCGGGUGUGAAACCCCUACGCGUAAUGAAAGUGAACGCAGGUGAGAGCCUCGGCGCAUCAUCGACCGAUCCUGAUGUUCUCGGAUGGAUUUGAGUAAGAGCAUACGGGGCCGGACCCGAAAGAAGGUGAACUAUGCCUGUGUAGGGUGAAGCCAGAGGAAACUCUGGUGGAGGCUCGCAGCGGUUCUGACGUGCAAAUCGAUCGUCAAACAUGGGCAUGGGGGCGAAAGACUAAUCGAACCUUCUAGUAGCUGGUUUCCGCCGAAGUUU
rnacentral:rRNA from 1 species